GAUGAACGCUGGCGGCGUGCCUAACACAUGCAAGUCGAGCGAAGCACUUUACUUGAUUUCUUCGGAUUGAAGGUAUAGUGACUGAGCGGCGGACGGGUGAGUAACGCGUGGGUAACCUGCCUCAUACGGGGGGAUAACAGUUAGAAAUGACUGCUAAUACCGCAUAAGACCACAGCACCGCAUGGUGCGGGGGUAAAAACUCCGGUGGUAUGAGAUGGACCCGCGUCUGAUUAGCUAGUUGGUAAGGUAAGGGCUUACCAAGGCGACGAUCAGUAGCCGACCUGAGAGGGUGACCGGCCACAUUGGGACUGAGACACGGCCCAAACUCCUACGGGAGGCAGCAGUGGGGAAUAUUGCACAAUGGGGGAAACCCUGAUGCAGCGACGCCGCGUGAGUGAUGAAGUAUUUCGGUAUGUAAAGCUCUAUCAGCAGGGAAGAAAAUGACGGUACCAGACUAAGAAGCACCGGCUAAAUACGUGCCAGCAGCCGCGGUAAUACGUAUGGUGCAAGCGUUAUCCGGAUUUACUGGGUGUAAAGGGAGCGUAGACGGAGAGGCAAGUCUGAUGUGAAAACCCGGGGCUCAACCCCGGGACUGCAUUGGAAACUGUUUUUCUAGAGUGUCGGAGAGGCAAGUGGAAUUCCUAGUGUAGCGGUGAAAUGCGUAGAUAUUAGGAGGAACACCAGUGGCGAAGGCGGCUUGCUGGACGGUGACUGACGUUGAGGCUCGAAAGCGUGGGGAGCAAACAGGAUUAGAUACCCUGGUAGUCCACGCCGUAAACGCUAUGUAGGGGUGUCGGGUGGCAAAACCAUUCGGUCCCGCAGCAAACGCAAUAAGUAGUCCACCUGGGGAGUACGUUCGCAAGAAUGAAACUCAAAAGAAAUUGCGGGGACCCGCACAAGCGGUGGAGCAUGUGGUUAAUUCGAAGCAACGCGAAGAACCUUACCUGCUCUUGACAUCCCCCUGACCGUCCCUUAAUCGGGGCUUUCCUUCGGGACAGGGGAGACAGGUGGUGCGUGGUUGUCGUCAGCUCGUGUCGUGAGAUGUUGGGUUAAGUCCCGCAACGAGCGCAACCCCUAUCUUUAGUAGCCAGCGGCCAGGCCGGGCACUCUAGAGAGACUGCCAGGGAUAACCUGGAGGAAGGUGGGGAUGACGUCAAAUCAUCAUGCCCCUUAUGAGCAGGGCUACACACGUGCUACAAUGGCGUAAACAAAGGGAGGCAGAGCCGCGAGGCCGAGCAAAUCUCAAAAAUAACGUCUCAGUUCGGAUUGUAGUCUGCAACUCGACUACAUGAAGCUGGAAUCGCUAGUAAUCGCGAAUCAGAAUGUCGCGGUGAAUACGUUCCCGGGUCUUGCACACAGCGCCCGUCA
rnacentral:rRNA from 1 species